rnacentral:lncRNA from 1 species
UGUAGCGUACUACAGAAGAGACAAAAAAGAGACUUUUGAGUGAAAAAGCAUCACUUGAGGAAAAAUUUGAAGAGCUAGAUAAGAAGAUAUCAAGUGGGGAGAUUUAAAUCAAGUAACAACACAAGUGCUAUCCGAGAAGAUUCUUUUUUUUAAUUACUUAGUAUAAGAUCAUAAUGAGUUAUUUUUUUGGUAGGAAAGAACAUAUUAUAUAUAAGCUUAAGG